rnacentral:rRNA from 1 species
AUACGGAAGGUCCGGGCGUUAUCCGGAUUUAUUGGGUUUAAAGGGUGCGCAGGCGGCCAUUUAAGUCAGCGGUUAAAUCGUGGGGCUCAACCCCAUUCUGCCGUUGAUACUGGGUGGCUUGAUUGCGGUCGAGGUUGGCGGAAUUCGUUGUGUAGCGGUGAAAUGCAUAGAUAUGACGAAGAACACCGAUUGCGUAGGCAGCUGACCAGACCGCAAAUGACGCUCAUGCACGAAAGUGCGGGGAUCGAACAGGAUUAGAUACCCUGGUAGUCCGCACAGUAAACGAUGAAUACUUGUUUUCGGCGAUAUAAUGUCGGAGGCAAAGCGAAAGCGAUAAGUAUUCCACCUGGGGAGUACCCCGGCAACGGUGAAACUCAAAUGAAUUGACGGGG